rnacentral:rRNA from 1 species
UACGGGAGGCAGCAGUGGGGGAAUAUUGCACAAUGGGCGAAAGCCUGAUGCAGCUAUGCCGCGUGUAUGAAGAAGGCCUUAGGGGUUGUAAAGUACUUUCAUCGGGGAGGAAAAAACAAAACUAAUAAUUUUAUUUCUUGACGUUACCCGAAAAAGAAGCACCGGCUAACUCCGUGCCAGCAGCCGCGGUAAUACGGAGGGUGCUAGCGUUAAUCGGAAUUACUGGGCGUAAAGGGCACGCAGGCGGUUAAUUAAGUUGGAUGUGAAAUCCCCGGGCUUAACCUGGGAAUGGCAUUUCAAGACUGGUUAGCUAGAGUCUUGUAGAGGGGGGUUAGAAUUCCAUGUGUAGCGGUGAAAUGCGUAGAGAUGUGGAGGAAUACCGGUGGCGAGGCGGCCCCUGGACAAAGACUGACGCUCAUGUGCGAAAGCGUGGGGAGCAAACAGGGAUUAGAUACC